AAUUGAAAUUUGAAAUCGAUAUCGACAUCGAUUGAUCGAUUGAUCCGAAACGAACUCAAUUUUGGAUUUGAAAAUGAAAAAUUUUCUAAAUUUGGAACCAAAAAAAAUCGUCAAUUCACAUGUCGAUCAUCUUCAUACUCGUCCACCAUCAUCAUCAUCAAUUGAAUUUGGCAAAAAACAUGUCUUCGUCGUCAUCGGUAUGUGUAUACAAUGAAUUUGAAUUUAUCAAAAUUUAUUAUCUGCCAUUUGCAUAUAUGCCAUUUGUUGCUGUUACUGUUACUCAGAAAGAACAACAGAAAAACUCGAAAAUUUCACCAUCAAAUUUUGUUACAGGUGCUUCGUUGUCGUAAUCAAAUCGUUUUUUUCAUUUCAUUUUAUUAUUAUUUUUCAAGGAAAUUCCUGGUCAAUUACGAAAUGACAUGAAAAAUGUUUUUUCUGUUUUGUUUUGUUUUGUCUUUCAGCAACGAAAUUUUUAAGAAAAACAAUGCAAAAAAAAAUCCUUGUUGUUACACAUUUGAUCCAUUGAUUCCAUGAAAUGAAAUUGAUUGAAAAUUGUUGCCGAUGAUUAUGAUGCCAAUGCAAUGAACCUCAAGAUAUUUUUUUUCAACUGAAUUAAAUUCAAUCCAUCAUCAUCAACACGAUCAUCAUGAAUAUGAAGAAAAUCAUUCGAUGCACACUGGCCAACCACCAAAGUCGAUAUAGCCAUGAAAUGAAAAGAUUCGAUAAUGUAAAAUUGAAACAUUGAAAUGAUUUUUUGUUUUGUUUGGUGUCAAUUUGAAAAUGGCCACAAAUACGACGAACCGAAAACCGAAAAAACAUUUCAAAUAAUUUUCAUCAUCAUUGGCCAACCGAAUCGAAAUUUGAAAUGAAUGAAUGUUUUUUUUUCACCGGUAAAAUUUAUUUCAAUGAAUCUCAAUACCUUGUAGGGUAGGGUGAGUAUCUUUUAUUAUCUGGUUUCAAUAUAACCAACAAUCAACCGACAAAAUAUAAACCGGUAUCAUCAUCAUCAUCAUUAUCAUUAUUUUCAUUCAUUCAACCGUAUUGUCAAAUUUUCGAUACAUUCACUUUAUCAUUUUUUUCCGUUAUUACUUUAUAUAUCGGAUGACUGAUCAUUGACUGCCAUCACCAUUUACCAUCAUGGCUGAUGAUGAUAUCGUUUCUUUCUUUUUUUUUGUCAAAGACACAUAAAUAACUAAUAAUGAUCAUCGCCAUAACAACAACAACAAGAUAAAAUGUUAUUUAAAUUGCACAUGGGCAACAUACCUUGAAAUGAUAUCAUCAUCAUUAUCGAAGUUAUGAUUUAAAUUUGAAAUUGAAAUUUUCACAUAUAAAAUCGUUUUGAUAUUU